rfam:Trichobilharzia regenti genome assembly, scaffold: TRE_scaffold0081889
AUCCAGAUGACGAGUUCCAUAUAGGACUUAAUGCGUAUCCUGGAU